rnacentral:rRNA from 1 species
UUUUUUUUUUAUUUUUUAUUAUAUAAAAUAUAUUUUUUAAAUAAAAAUUAAAUAUUUUAUUGGGGUGAUAAAAAAAUUAAAAAAACUUUUUUUUAAAAAAAACAUUUAUUUAUGAAUAAUUGAUCCAAUAUUAUUGAAUAU